rnacentral:rRNA from 1 species
CGCGACCCCAGGUCAGGCGGGANUAC